CUUCUUUCGCAACGCCCACUUUCAGACACUCCACGUAAAAAUGGUUACCCAUGACUCAACAUUUUAAAGACAGCAUGAAGUGUUCGAGCAGCAAAGUACAACAAAGGCACUACUGACCUCGACAAGAGGCACAACAUUUGUGGAGGGCAGAGAAAUUCACAAUUCAGGACACACGAUGACCACGAUUUGAAUGCUGCAACUGAGACGGAAUGACGUCAUUGGGACACACUCUGAGACCUCCAGUAUGACUCGACUUGGGCCGGAUAUUUGUGACAGAUCUAAAAUGGGUGCCGAAGCACACCAACAUCCCAUUUUAUGUUUAUUCUAUGGCCAACCAUCUCUCUAGCUCCCCAUUAUGCCAUUUCUGCCCCAGGGUCAAUGGUCCCUCAACUUCAGACACUUUGAAACUCUCCAUCUUAUCUCUAGAAACCCACCCUUCCUUCACCCAUUAAGGUUGACUUAAAUUCAGAAGUGUAUAUAUUAUGUAUGAAAGGCACAUGUAUGCAUUGUUUACUAUUUUGAUUUAUUUAAAACAAUGUAAUUGUUGGUUCAGGUGUUUGACGUGAUUGAUGGGGGACUAGGUGCCUUCUUGUCAAAUAAAACAUGCUUAUUCAUUCAUGAUUACGGAUACAUUCUGCAAUGAGUUAAUCUGGCUUUGAAUAUUCAACAGAAAACGUCAAGUUAGUUCUAAAUUGCUUUUAUAGAGCAGUGCAUUCGGACACUAUGAAUUUAAAUAUAUUUCACCUUGUUCAUAUAGUUGUCAGAAAUGAUAAGCGAUUAAAUUAAAGACCUCCACUGGCUGAAGGAGAAGAGGAUCUGGUAAAGUAAGUAUGUUGCUAAUAUCAUCUAGGUAGGUACAGUUGAAGUCAGAAGUUUACAUACACAUUAGCAAAAUAUAUUUAAAUUAAGUUUUUCACAAUUCCUGACAUUUAAUCCAAGUAAAAAUG